GAUGAACGCUGGCGGCGUGCCUAAUACAUGCAAGUCGAGCGAACAGACGAGGAGCUUGCUCCUCUGACGUUAGCGGCGGACGGGUGAGUAACACGUGGAUAACCUACCUAUAAGACUGGGAUAACUUCGGGAAACCGGAGCUAAUACCGGAUAAUAUAUUGAACCGCAUGGUUCAAUAGUGAAAGACGGUUUUGCUGUCACUUAUAGAUGGAUCCGCGCCGCAUUAGCUCGUUGGUAAGGUAACGGCUUACCAAGGCAACGAUGCGUAGCCGACCUGAGAGGGUGAUCGGCCACACUGGAACUGAGACACGGUCCAGACUCCUACGGGAGGCAGCAGUAGGGAAUCUUCCGCAAUGGGCGAAAGCCUGACGGAGCAACGCCGCGUGAGUGAUGAAGAUCUUCGGAUCGUAAAACUCUGUUAUUAGGGAAGAACAAAUGUGUAAGUAACUAUGCACGUCUUGACGGUACCUAAUCAGAAAGCCACGGCUAACUACGUG
rnacentral:rRNA from 1 species